rnacentral:rRNA from 1 species
CCUACGGGAGGCAGCAGUGGGGAAUAUUGCACAAUGGGGGAAACCCUGAUGCAGCGACGCCGCGUGAGUGAAGAAGUAUUUCGGUAUGUAAAGCUCUAUCAGCAGGGAAGAAAAUGACGGUACCUGAUUAAGAAGCCCCGGCUAACUACGUGCCAGCAGCCGCGGUAAUACGUAGGGGGCAAGCGUUAUCCGGAUUUACUGGGUGUAAGGGGAGCGUAGACGGCAGCACAAGUCUGGAGUGAAAUGCCGCGGCUUAACCACGGAACUGCUUUGGAAACUGUGCAGCUAGAGUGCAGGAGAGGUAAGUGGAAUUCCUAGUGUAGCGGUGAAAUGCGUAGAUAUUAGGAGGAACACCAGUGGCGAAGGCGGCUUACUGGACUGUAACUGACGUUGAGGCUCGAAAGCGUGGGGAGCAAACAGGAUUAGAUACCCCUGUAGUC